GUACGGGAGGCAGCAGUGGGGAAUAUUGCGCAAUGGGGGAAACCCUGACGCAGCAACGCCGCGUGAGCGAUGAAGGCCUUCGGGUCGUAAAGCUCUGUCUUCGCUGACGAUAAUGACGGUAAGCGAGGAGGAAGCCACGGCUAACUACGUGCCAGCAGCCGCGGUAAUACGUAGGUGGCGAGCGUUGUCCGGAAUUACUGGGCGUAAAGGGUGCGUAGGCGGCUCUUUAAGUGAGGUGUGAAAGCCCUGGGCUUAACCCAGGAACGGCACUUCAAACUGGAGAGCUAGAGUGCAGGAGAGGAAAGUGGAAUUCCCAGUGUAGCGGUGAAAUGCGUAGAGAUUGGGAGGAACACCAGUGGCGAAGGCGACUUUCUGGACUGUAACUGACGCUGAGGCACGAGAGCGUGGGGAGCAAACAGGAUUAGAUACCCCGGUAGG
rnacentral:rRNA from 1 species